rfam:Grifola frondosa strain 9006-11 000063F, whole genome shotgun sequence.
GGGGAAAUACGAUAAUUGGUAAUCAGUUAUAUUUGCAAUAUAAAAAAUGAUAGUUCGAGUCUAUCUUUCUCCA